rnacentral:rRNA from 1 species
AGGACGAACGCUGGCGGCGUGCUUAACACAUGCAAGUGGAGCGACGAACCAGGUUUCGGCCUGGGGCAGAGCCGCGAACGGGUGAGUAACACGUGGGUAACCUGCCCUGAUGAUUGGGACAACCCGAGGAAACUCGGGCUAAUACCAAAUGUGCCCUUUGACCGCAAGGCCACUGGGGAAAGGAAGCUUCGGCCUCCGCAUUGGGAUGGGCCCGCGGCCCAUUAGCUUGUUGGUGAGGUAACGGCUCACCAAGGCGACGAUGGGUAGCUGGUCUGAGAGGACGAUCAGCCACACUGGGACUGAGACACGGCCCAGACUCCUACGGGAGGCAGCAGUGGGGAAUCUUGCGCAAUGCGCGAAAGCGUGACGCAGCAACGCCGCGUGGGGGAAGAAGGCCUUCGGGUUGUAAACCCCUUUCAGUGGGGACGAAGCUUUGCCGGUGAACAGCCGGUUGGAGUGACGGUACCUUCAGAAGAAGCCCCGGCUAACUACGUGCCAGCAGCCGCGGUAAUCGUGA